AUUGAACGCUGGCGGCAUGCCUUACACAUGCAAGUCGAACGGCAGCGCGGGAGCAAUCCUGGCGGCGAGUGGCGAACGGGUGAGUAAUAUAUCGGAACGUGCCCAGUAGUGGGGGAUAGCCCGGCGAAAGCCGGAUUAAUACCGCAUGAGACCUGAGGGUGAAAGCGGGGGAUCGCAAGACCUCGCGCUAUUGGAGCGGCCGAUAUCAGAUUAGCUAGUUGGUGGGGUAAAGGCCUACCAAGGCAACGAUCUGUAGUUGGUCUGAGAGGACGACCAGCCACACUGGGACUGAGACACGGCCCAGACUCCUACGGGAGGCAGCAGUGGGGAAUUUUGGACAAUGGGCGCAAGCCUGAUCCAGCAAUGCCGCGUGCAGGAAGAAGGCCUC
rnacentral:rRNA from 1 species